GACAGAGGGGGCAAGCGUUGCUCGGAAUCACUGGGCGUAAAGGGCGCGUAGGCGGGUCCGCAAGUCGGUCGUGAAAUCCUUCGGCUCAACUGAAGGGGGUCGGUCGAUAUUGCGGGUCUUGAGGGAUGCAGAGGAGACUGGAAUUCCCGGUGUAGCGGUGAAAUGUGUAGAGAUCGGGAGGAACACCGGUGGCGAAGGCGGGUCUCUGGGCAUCUCCUGACGCUGAGGCGCGAAAGCUAGGGGAGCAAACGGG
rnacentral:rRNA from 1 species